rfam:TPA: Bos taurus chromosome 16, whole genome shotgun sequence.
UUCCUGGUGGCCCAGUGGUUAAGACUCUGCAUUCCCAAUGCAGGGAGCAUGGGUGCGAUCCCUGGUCAGGAAA